rnacentral:rRNA from 1 species
GACGAACGCUGGCGGCGUGCUUAACACAUGCAAGUCGAGCGGUAAGGCCCUUUCGGGGGUACACGAGCGGCGAACGGGUGAGUAACACGUGGGUGACCUGCCCUCAGCUCUGGGAUAAGCCUGGGAAACUGGGUCUAAUACUGGAUAUGACUCCACGGUGCAUGUCGUGGGGUGGAAAGCCUUGUGCGGCUGAGGAUGGGCCCGCGGCCUAUCAGCUUGUUGGUGGGGUGAUGGCCUACCAAGGCGACGACGGGUAGCCGGCCUGAGAGGGCGACCGGCCACACUGGGACUGAGACACGGCCCAGACUCCUACGGGAGGCAGCAGUGGGGAAUCUUGCGCAAUGGGCGAAAGCCUGACGCAGCGACGCCGCGUGAGGGAUGACGGCCUGGUU